AAAUUGAAGAGUUUGAUCAUGGCUCAGAUUGAACGCUGGCGGCAGGCCUAACACAUGCAAGUCGAACGGUAACAGAAAGCAGCUUGCUGCUUUGCUGACGAGUGGCGGACGGGUGAGUAAUGUCUGGGAA
rnacentral:rRNA from 1 species